AUUGAACGCUGGCGGCAGGCCUAACACAUGCAAGUCGAACGAGUGGCGGACGGGUGAGUAAUGUCUGGGAAACUGCCUGAUGGAGGGGGAUAACUACUGGAAACGGUAGCUAAUACCGCAUACCAUCGGAUGUGCCCAGAUGGGAUUAGCUAGUAGGUGGGGUAAAGGCUCACCUAGGCGACGAUCCCUACCUGGUCUGAGAGGAUGACCAGCCACACUGGUACUGAGAGACGGACCAGAUUCCUACGGGAGGCAGCGGUGGGAAAUAUUGCACAAUGGGCGCAAGCAGGAUGCAGCCAUGCCGCGUGUAUGAAGAAGGCAUUCGGGUUGUAAAGUACUUUAAGCGGGGAGGCGUUACCCGCAGAAGAAGCACCGGCUAACUCCGUGCCAGCCGCCGGGGUAAUAC
rnacentral:rRNA from 1 species